rnacentral:snRNA from 1 species
AGCAAAUGAGUAAUUAGUUAU